rnacentral:misc_RNA from 1 species
AGCAGCCGCGGUAAUUCCAGCUCCAAUAGCGUAUAUUAAAGUUGUUGCAGUUAAAAAGCUCGUAGUUGAACUUCGGGGUUCACCCAUUGGUCAGGCUUAAUUGUCUGUACUGGUGAGAUGAAUCUCUACCUUCUGAGGAACUUUCAUGCCAUUUAUUUGGUGUGAUGGGAAAUCAGGACUGUUACUUUGAAAAAAUUAGAGUGUUUAAAGCAGGCUAACGUCUGAAUACAUUAGCAUGGAAUAAUGAAAUAGGACGGAUUGUAUUCUAUUUCGUUGGUUUCUAGGGUCACCGUAAUGAUUAAUAGGGAUAGUUGGGGGCAUUAGUAUUCAAUUGUCAGAGGUGAAAUUCUUGGAUUUAUUGAAGACUAACUAC